rnacentral:rRNA from 1 species
CAGUAGCCACGGUAUACGGAGGGUGCAAGCGUUAAUCGGAACUACUGGGCGUAAAGCGUGCGUAGGCGGUUCGUUAAGUCUGUUGUGAAAGCCCCGGGCUCAACCUGGGAAUGGCAAUGGAUACUGGCGAGCCAGAGUGUGUCAGAGGAUGGUGGAAUUCCCGGUGUAGCGGUGAAAUGCGUAGAGAUCGGGAGGAACAUCAGUGGCGAAGGCGGCCAUCUGGGACAACACUGACGCUGAUGCACGAAAGCUAGGGGAGCAAACAGGAUUAGAUACCCGCGUAGUCCCUGUCUCUUAUACC